CCCGAACAGCCGCAGGCGCUGGAGGUGACCAUCGACACCGCCCCUUGCGCUGAUCCGGCCGCGGCCUCCAUCCCAAAGAAUCGAAACCUGGCCAUCGCGAACAGCCGCAGGCGCUGGAGGUGACCAUCGACACCGCCCCUUGCGCUGAUCCGGCCGCGGCCUCCAUCCCGCUGUACUCGAACCGUCGAACGGUCCCGAGUUUGUCGGCUUGCUCAGGCUCGGCCUCGGGUCUCACGACGACGAGCGGACGAGAAGGGGACCACCGCAGACGUGCAUGAUGAUUACGAACAACGACGACGUCCAGCCGCCGGUGUGGGCGCUCUUCCGUCCUCUUGGUAGCGAAGGUCAGUGUCUUGGACUUGCAUCCUGCAUCCAUGUGGUCGCUAUCCUUUACUUCUUCCCCCAUCCUAUGUCACCUUGCCAGAGCCGCCCCUGAUACUGCCUCUCCCACCCACUGGCUAUGACGUGCAAGUACCAUGACCUCUUCUCCCUAGCAGGUUUGUUUGCUUGCAACGUGUUUGUAAAAAUGCUCGAAUGCUUCAAUCUUACUAUUUACACAAGUAAAAUUUCGCCCAGACAACUACUUAUGCUACACUGAUAUGAUUCUUGCCUUAUUUACUAUCUGAUGGUUCAUAUGCACACCACCUCAAUGUUCUCAGGUCAUGGAGUAUGUGCAGAUCAUUUGUCUAUCAAGCUGUAUUUUCCUAUCAAAAUUUUAGUGAAUCAGCUUAAAUCUUAAACGGAGCCAUCAUUUCCUAUUAACUUAAUGAACCUGUGACAAAAAUGAAUUAAAUUUUUUGAUUCAAUAGAAUAUCUGGGACUAUAAACGGACUCAUGAAUUAGACCCUGUUUGGUUUCCAUAAGCCUCUAGCCCCUCCAAAAGACCCUGGGUCUAAACAAAAGUCCCAUCUUGUUUGUUUUCAAUGAUUAAAGGGACUACACCUCAUUAAAUGGUGUGUUCAAAAGACAUUUUUACCCCUUCUCCCUACAUGCAUGCGGAUAGGGUAGGGGGCAGUAGGUGGAAUUGUAGCCCAAAAGUCCCUAAAAGCUCCUCAUGAGGGUCUUCUUCGAAAAAAGUCUCUACCCUAAAAAAAGUCCCUAAAAGUCCCACCUGUUUGGUUUAAAAGUCCCAUAAGUCCUAGGGACUUCAACAAAAGUCCCUCAAACCAAACAGGGCCUUAAUCCUGUAAAUACUGAAUUAUUUAAGACAUUUUGUGAAUCAGAUUACUAAUUGCCUCAGCAGAUUGUCAAUAUGUACAUGUUUCUUGAUUUCACAUUUUAGUAAAUUUGCACAUAGAUAUUCAGUAACAGUUCCCACUGCAAUUGUCUUGUGGUUCUAAAUUGUCUCAGUACUAGCAGCUCCCAAUCAGAUUGUUGUUUCACACGUGUCCUGUGCUCCUACUUUCGUCUUUGUUCUUUAUUUAAAUGAUCAAUUAGAGUCCAUUGCUCCAUGUUGAGAUUCAUUCAAUUUCUUUGCACGUGUUUUUCAUCAUUAUGUUACAGCUAGCAGCCUAGCACCAACAUAAUUGAUAAAAUCGUAUCGCUAUCCCCUCAUUAAUCUCUAUGACUGCUCAUUAAAAUCAGUUCUGUAUGCAAAUCUAAAUAUAAAUUUAUCGCAAUUAUACAAAUGCUGAAGUAUCUCAUGUUCACUCGAGUAUCUCUUUUUCGAUACUGCAUCCUUUUCUUUACAACAUUGAUGCUGAAUUAUCAAAAUCAAAUCUUCUUUGGGAUAGUUAAUAAUCUGGAGUUGCUGGGAAGGCACUGCAAAUUGGAUGGAAAUCAUUUGUUGCAGAUAUAUGUAUUUAAGUAUCAACCUGAUAAGCUCCUGGAGGCUGGAGCUGGUUAAGGUGCCACCCUUCGCCCUCCUCCGUAGUCCUCCAUAGUGUGCGGCAUAGCCAUGGCAGGUAGUGCUCCACACCGUCCUGCUCCUCUCAGGAUGAAGGAUACUUGCGAGCAGAUCACCAAAAAAAAUGCAGAAAUGAAUGUUUCCAUUCUGAAUUUUCUCUGAUGUAAAAUGGAAAAGCAACUAUCUGUUUUCUUAGUCCAUCACUAGCUGUUCUAUUAACUUAUGUAUAAGAAGACAUAUACAAUCAGCUUACUUACAGGCAGACGCAUUGUAUUCUCUUUCACACUUGCUAACAGAUUCUGUGAUCUAAACCGACUAAAAUUGUGAAGCUCGUGAACCCAGCACAUCAUCAAUAUUGGUAUAAACAUUGGUCACCACUGGUAAUCUCAAGGGUGGCGCGGCAACGCCGUGCCCCGGGCUUUCUAGUGGUUGAUUAAUGACUUGUUUUUAUCUCUUUACAGGGAAGCAAUCUAAAGGGCAAGGAAUUUAACUUGACAAUGCACUGGCACAUUAUGCCAAAGACUGGCAAGUUGUUUGCAGAUAAGAUAAUCAGGACAGGCUAUCGGCUCCCUGAGCAGUACAGAUAGUCAGAUAGAUCCUGAACAGGAGUGGAGGCCUGCAAGAAGUGUUAGUGGCAGUGGCAUAGCUGAUCCUGAGCUUUUUGUUCUAAUCUAAGUGAAACAUAUAUGUAAUCUUAUAAGCUUGUACUUAAGCUGUACCAAGCGAAACAAAGUUGUAAUUUGAGGAGAUAUAUGUAUUGCUCUACUUUGCUUUGCCUAUCAAAUGCUGAUUGUGAACUUGAGAGCUA